rnacentral:rRNA from 1 species
UACGAAGGGGGCUAGCGUUGUUCGGAUUUACUGGGCGUAAAGCGCGCGUAGGCGGAUCGCAAAGUUGGGGGUGAAAGCCCAGGGCUCAACCCUGGAAUUGCCUUCAAGACUCGCGGUCUGGAGUUCGAGAGAGGUGGGUGGAAUUCCGAGUGUAGAGGUGAAAUUCGUAGAUAUUCGGAGGAACACCAGUGGCGAAGGCGGCCCACUGGCUCGACACUGACGCUGAGGCGCGAAAGCGCGGGGAGCAAACAGG